rfam:Triticum aestivum genome assembly, contig: Triticum_aestivum_CS42_TGACv1_scaffold_220605_3B
CUCCUACUCCUUCCGUCCGAAAAUACUUUGUCAUCAAAAUGGAUAAAAAGGGAUAUAUCUAGAACGAAUAUACAUCUAGAUACAUUCCCUUUUAUUCAUUUUGAUGACAAGUAUUUUCGAACUGAGGGAGCAGAUC